CUGAAAUCACAACAGCAUUGCUUGCAUCCCCAGCGAGAUGUUGAAAACUUGACAGGGUCUAGCUCUGUCACCCAGACUGGAGUGCAGUGGCACAAUCUCAGCUCACCGCAGCCUCAACCUCCAACCUCCUGGGCUCAAGAGAUCCUCUCAAUUCAGCUGCUGGAGUAGCUGGAACUACAGCUCACUCCUAGUGUGAAAAGAGAAACUCCACAUCUUGCAGAAAGCAAAAUGAAGACUGAGGGGCAAUGCAGUGUGGUUGGAACACAUAGCAGUAGUCACUGACACGGCAG